rnacentral:rRNA from 1 species
AUUGAACGCUGGCGGCAGGCUUAACACAUGCAAGUCGAGCGGGGUGAUGGUGCUUGCACUAUCACUUAGCGGCGGACGGGUGAGUAAUGCUUAGGAAUCUGCCUAUUAGUGGGGGACAACAUCUCGAAAGGGAUGCUAAUACCGCAUACGUCCUACGGGAGAAAGCAGGGGAUCACUUGUGACCUUGCGCUAAUAGAUGAGCCUAAGUCGGAUUAGUUAGUUGGUGGGGUAAAGGCCUACCAAGGCGACGAUCUGUAGCGGGUCUGAGAGGAUGAGCCGCCAGACUGGGACUGAGACACGGCCCAGACUCCUAAGGGAGGCAGCAGUGGGGAAUAUUGGACAAUGGGGGGAACCCUGAUCCAGCCAUGCCGCGUGUGUGAAGAAGGCCUUAUGGUUGUAAAGCACUUUAAGCGAGGAGGAGGCUCUUUUGGUUAAUACCCAAGAUGAGUGGACGUUACUCGCAGAAUAAGCACCGGCUAACUCUGUGCCAGCCGCCGCGGUAA